rnacentral:sRNA from 1 species
UGUCACGGAUAUGACCGCUUGCCCGUUGCCCGGGCACGCCAGUAACCCGAUUGUCUCGGGAUCGCCCGACGU